AGAGUUUGAUCAUGGCUCAGAACGAACGCUGGCGGCGUGCCUAACGCAUGUAAGUCGAACGCAGAACCUUCGGGUCCUGAGUGGCGAACGGCUGAGGAACACGUACGAACCUGCCCGCUUGUGGGGAAUAACGCACCGAAAGGUGUGCUAAUACCGCGUACGCUCACAUGUGAAUGUGAGGAAAGUCGCAAGACGCUGGCGGAGGGGCGUGCGGCCCAUCAGGUUGUUGGUGGGGUAAGAGCCUACCAAGCCGACGACGGGUAGCUGGUCUGUGAGGACGAUCAGCCAGACUGGGACUGCGAAACGGCCCAGACACCUACGGGUGGCAGCAGCGAGGAAUCUUCCACAAUGGGCGAAAGCCCGAUGGAGCAACGCCGCGUGGAGGACGACGGCCUUCGGGUUGUAAACUCCUUUCAGAGGGGAUGAAACGGACAGUACCCUCAGAAGAAGCCCCGGCUAACUCUGUGCCAGCAGCCGCGGUAAUACAGAGGGGGCAAGCGUUGUCCGGAAUUACUGGGCGUACAGCGCGCGCAGGCGGACCGCGACGUGCCGUGUGACAAGCCACUGCUCACCAGUGGAGGGGCAUGGUACACGAGCGGUCUGGAGGCAGGGAGAGGGAUGUGGAAUGCCCGGUGGAGCGGUGAAAUGCGUAGAGAUCGGGCGGAACACCGCGGCGAAGGCGGCAUCCUGGUCCUCUGACGCUGAGGCGCGAGAGCGUGGGGAGCAAACUGGAUUAGAUACCCUAGUAGUCC
rnacentral:rRNA from 1 species